GACGAACGCUGGCGGCGUGCUUAACACAUGCAAGUCGAACGGAAAGGCCCUGCUUUUUUGGGGUGCUCGAGUGGCGAACGGGUGAGUAACACGUGAGUUACCUGCCCUUGACUUUGGGAUAACUUCAGGAAACUUGGGCUAAUACCGGAUAGGAGCUCCUGCUGCAUGGUGGGGGUUGGAAAGUUUCGGCGGUUGGGGAUGGACUCGCGGCUUAUCAGCUUGUUGGUGGGGUAGUGGCUUACCAAGGCUUUGACGGGUAGCCGGCCUGAGAGGGUGACCGGCCACAUUGGGACUGAGAUACGGCCCAGACUCCUACGGGAGGCAGCAGUGGGGAAUAUUGCACAAUGGGCGGAAGCCUGAUGCAGCAACGCCGCGUGCGGGAUGACGGCCUUCGGGUUGUAAACCGCUUUCGCCUGUGACGAAGCGUGAGUGACGGUAAUGGGUAAAGAAGCACCGGCUAACUACGUG
rnacentral:rRNA from 1 species